rnacentral:rRNA from 1 species
GCCGGAGGAGGCAAGCGUUAUCCGGAAUUAUUGGGCGUAAAGGGUACGUAGGCGGCUGGUCAAGUCUGGGGUCAAAGGCCACAGCUCAACUGUGGGGAGGCCCUGGAAACUGACCGGCUAGAGUGAGGUGGGGGUUGCGGGAAUUCCCGGUGUAGCGGUGAAAUGCGUAGAGAUCGGGAAGAACACCUGAGGCGGAAGCGCGCAACUGGGCCUCAACUGACGCUGAGGUACGAAAGCUAGGGGAGCGAAUGGG